rnacentral:rRNA from 1 species
CACGUAGGGGGCGAGCGUUGUCCGGAUUCAUUGGGCGUAAAGGGCGCGCAGGCGGCCCGGAAAGUCGGAUGUGAAAACUCGAGGCUCAACCUCGAGCGUGCACCCGAUACUGCCGGGCUUGAGGCAGGUAGGGGAGAUCGGAAUUCCUGGCGUAGCGGUGAAAUGCGCAGAUAUCAGGAGGAACACCGGUGGCGAAGGCGGAUCUCUGGGCCUGUCCUGACGCUGAGGCGCGAAAGCUAGGGGAGCGAACAGG